rnacentral:misc_RNA from 1 species
AGUUAGAAAAGUCUUCGAUCUCCAAUGCCUGAUUUCCUCCAAUCUCCAAUAUUGACUCCAUGUGUUGCUUUUCCUCAACUUCUAUUGAAGUCUCCAUGGCUUGAUAUACCACAUUUUCAACUUAUCUUCAUCAUUCUUAGCUUCUAGAACAGUUGGUUUAAUGAUUUUCAAUUGAAGCUCGUCAUCUUCAACCAUAGCAAAAGGGAAUUCAAUUAAAGUUUCAGGUUU